GUGAAUCUAAAAUAAUUUCAUCUCAAACACAUUUCUACAAGCGAAUAAUAGGUAAACAACUAUCCAAGUACCCAACCUAAAGGUACAAUAAUGCUUAAAUUUAAUUAUCAUCCGCAUAUCACCAAAAUACGAGGAAAAUAAUUGAAGGGAAAAACAGAAGCUAUCAUAAAUGAGCAACUCAAUAACCCAUAUUAAUACAAACUUGAUACUAAUUAACGGAGCCUAGCCAGCCUGAGAAUGAGCUGGCCUUACUGCCUUAUAAUAAUAAUAAUAAUUUAAGUAAAUAUAUAGAAGGGAAUACAAUCAUUAGUGGAAAAGAAUGUGACCUCGAGCUGAAGUCAUUAAAGAGUUCCAAUCGGACAUAUAUAUCAUAUGCUCCUGCAUAUAUAGUUUAGCCUAAGCAAAGCAGCCAACAAGAAAACAGGACUCAAAAACUUUUCUCUUCAUUCAUUUCUCCAGAGCUAGCCAGAUGUCAGGCCAGGCUUCUCUGCCUUAAAUGAUAAACAGUGAACAGUGUCUCGCUAGCUUAGAGAGGUCGCGUGCUCCGACCACUUGCUUUACCACAAAGAAGUGCAUUCUUUGGAAUGGGAAAUUCAUCUCUAAGUGAAGUUGAUGUUGUGUAAACUCUCAAAUAUAGCUGCUGGCCGAGGUAUUGACGAGCCCAGAAUUCUGACCUUAUGUUCCACAUGCCUACGUUGUCAAGUGGCACGUAAAUAGCAGUCCAUGACUUGGGAUAUACCUGCACUCACCAUUCAUCAAUCACUACCCGUAAAUGAGAAAGGACAGCAAAUGAAUUUCAUUUAUGAUUAUUGAAAGGAGGUUUUGUCUCACUUGUGUGGUGCAUCGUGCAACUGCAUCACGGAGAUUGUAUUGGUUCCUGCUAUUUGUUGUCCACUGUCCUCCAUCCAUACUGCAUUUCGAGAUAUUUGCUUGUCAAACCCAAAUUGAAGCAAGGGUCUUGGAGAACAAACACCAUGUAGAUUAAUUAUGUGCUUACCCAACAACAAAGAAACUGUAACCAUUAAGAUGCCAGCUCUGGACGAUGUUUUCAUUGUUCUCGAAUACAAUUUCUACAAAUGCUCUAUAAUCUACUGUCAAAACUGAUGUGUCAAGAUAAAUUCCACCUCCAUAAGGUUUGUCUGAUAUGCUGUUCUCGCGGAAAACUCCCUGAAUUUUGAAGUAGUCUGCAAGCUUUAGUGGGGUGUCUGGUGCGACAAAGGACACACUGUUCACUGCAUAUCUCUGCUUUCCAUUGACUUGGCCAGCAGAACUUGCGAGCCUGAUAGUUCUGGUUGUGUUAAUCAUACCAUAGUGGUAUGAGCCUUGUGGAUUUGGUCUUGGUCCACUUGCAGUAAGAUUGGUUCUAAUUGAGCGGGCCUGGUUAAGAGACCAGUCAAUUUGAAUGGUGGGUCCACCAGGGGGUGGACCAGAGACACGGCCAGCAGAGUUACUGUAGUGAAGAACACCCGUGGUGGUAAGGAUCGGAGUAGUGAAGCGAGAGGAAACCACAAUGUAGUAGUCCAGGCCAGGCUGAUCAGCUGUUACUAGAACAGAGUAAGAUUGGCCAACAUGAACGUCAAGUGAAGAGUAGGUGGUCUGGAGAGUAUGUGUUCCCUCCACUUCUACCAACUUCAUUUUAUGGUUCUGAAUGCGAAAGUUGAGUGAAUGUUGCAACCCAACAUUUGAUAUUCUGAGCCUGUAAGUUUUUCCUUGUUCAACAGUAAGUGCAUAACCAUUGGGCCCGCGACCAUUGAUGAGAAUUCCAUCAGGGAAAGGCAGCUUCUUACCACGAUCCAAAUGAGCCCUCAAAGCCGUGUGAUUAGACUUGUACCAAUCUCCAAUAAGAAUGGUGUAAUCGCCAUCGGGAUCUGGGAAGGGGACUGGAAUUUGCGGGCGACUAAGGAUUCUGAUUCCUCCAAAACCACCAGCAGCCUUGUGGAAUCCAAGAGAUGGGAAGUAAUAGAAACUCCCUAUUUGGUCCUUGACUUGAAGAAUGUAUGUGAAGUUCCUUCCUGGAGGAAUUGGGCAUGUGGUUCCGUAAACACCAUCCUCAAAUGAGUUUCUCCUAUUUUGAAUUCCAUUCCUAUUUAAAUCACAGACAAAUAUUUCUAAAUUAUAAACAGAUCAUUUGAUAUGACCCAAUAACUGAAUAAGCAAAGUUUACUUUAUUAUGGUUGUUGAGAGUAUGGAUGGCUGGCUGCCCUGCCUACUUAUCCAUUACUUGCCUUUGUUAGUACUGCAAUGUAAUAAGCAACUUGAGUUCAUUAAACUCUCAACUGAAAGGUACCCAUUAGUUAAAGCGCUUGAAUGAAAGAAAGGGUCUCAAGAUUAAAUCUCAAGACUAUUAAUUUCUGUAGUUAUGGCCUAUCCAAGGUGGAAGACAGCUAAAACUGAAAUAGACAGCAGAAUUAAUUCGAUGGUCUAACAACAGCAAGCAUAUCUUCAGUUGUCUCAUUUAAUCAUGAAAAAGUCGUUUUAUACAUUUAAACAAAUCUUAGCUCUCCCUUAAAUCUUAGUCCAUACGUAAGCGAUAACGACAUACGAGUGUGACCGCAAGGAGAAGCGAAUAACAGAGUCCGCAUUAAAAGAGAAAGCAUACACCCCAUCAAUGGCGCCAUAUAUUUGCGGGAAUAUAAAAUGGAGAGAAAGACCCAGAAUUCCAGAUCUAUAAUACUACUAAUAUAAGCAUUCACUGACUCAUAUGAGCUUAAAAAGCUUUCAAUUUUUCUAAAGAAAAAGAAAGUAUAGCAUAUGUUCGAAACAAAAAGAAGGAAAUGUGAACCAGACGUUCUCUUGAUAUACUGGAAUUACUUGUAUAUCCUCGCAUAGUGAGCACAAGAAACUAGGAAUAAGUGGGUAGGUUUGUCUUUUGGACGAAGGGCGCGCAAAUGAUUGCGCGUAUUCUAUUGUUCUUUGUAGAUGGGGAAAGUUCACGGGAAAAAAAGAGAGAGACAGGACUGCGAAAGAAGAGAUUUUACCAGGAGAGAAGAAAAGGCUCAUCCAAGCUGUUGAACACAUUGAUAAUAAGAUUGUCAUUUGUAACUGAGUGAAUAUCAGGGCCCGGAAAUUGUCCAUUGAUAAGAAUACCCCUUUGGCGAAGACCGAGUGGGUAAAUGUCUCCAUAAGUAACAUUCCAGUUGAAGAACCUGUACGGAUCAUCAGCUCCAACAAUGGCAAAAAGAUAGACGGCGACACAUAACAAAGUGCAAACAGCACUUGUUCCCGCUAAGCUUAGCGGCAUUGUUACCAACAGGAACCCUUUAAUUAGGCUCAGAGGACAGGAAGGGAGAAAAAAAAAAUGAAGAAUGGAGUGUGAGGUUCAGGCACUUGGAUGGGGAGAAGAAGCAAGUGAAUGAUGAGCUGAUGAGGAAUGGCGUGGCGCAAUAUUUAAGUGCGGCACAGAGGAUGUGUCUGCCUGACUUUGUGUAAUGUGUUAAAAAUUUAGCCGAAAAGUAAAGAGGGCAAAA
rnacentral:misc_RNA from 1 species